AGUGAUAAUAAAAUGAUAGAUAUUAAUGAAUCAUACAUACAUACAUAUGCAUGUGCAUAUAUACAUAAAUAUUUGCAGAUACAAAAUUUUAAGUGACAGAUAGUUUUUCCUAGGGUUAAGCGUUAUAUUGGUCCCUGUCUUUGUCUCGCCGUCUGAUCUAAGUCCCUCGCCGGAAAAUUUAUUGCAUUUGGUCCUCAUCUUUAAAAUAUUUUUGGGGCAGAUCCUCACCGGAGAGUGGAGCUCCGGCGAGUGCAUAAAUGACAUGCUGACUGUGUCAAUAAUGCCUACGUGGAAUUAAAAAAAUAAAAAAUAAAUAACACAUCAGAAUAUUAAAUUAAAUUUUCUUAUUAUAACCCUAAUUUAAUCAACUAAAUUAAAUCCCCCCAAACUUAUCCCAAUUUACCCAUCGCUGAGUUUCAAACCCAGAAUCAAAAUCUUAUUCAAAACCUUGUUCUUUCCAAUCUUCUACUCCGUUCUGUGAAACCCAGAAGUUUCCACCAUGGUUCUCCAAUUUUCCCUUUUUCCCUAAUCAAUUUCUCAACUUCACCACCAGAAUUCUCCAACUCUUCUCCACCAUGUUGUUGUUUAACUACCUUCACCCAAACUCCGCUCAACAACAACAAUCCUCAUUUCCAAUCACCAAUUUAAAUCCCUCAAACCCAAAUUUCCUGUACCAGAUUUCCAAUUUCUCGCAGGUUCUCAACAAAGCAACCACCACCACCACCCAUGAACCGGAGAAGACGGUAAUGGACCACCGGCUACAGGAAUUGGAAAAAAUAGCUUCUGGAGGACAGUAAUGAUGAAGAAGGUGAUUUGGUUUCUGUAAUCACGAAUUCCGAAUGGUCUGAUACCACCUCCUCUGGCACUCGGUAGGAUGCUGCAACCUCACCCUACCCCCAAACCUCACCCUCACCUACACCCCCUCAACCCCAACACCCAAAAAUCAAGCCAAAUCAAAACACCCACAAAUACUCAAAGAUCAAAAACUUAGGAAGCUACUGAAACCUUCACCAAAUCAUCCAUCAUGCACUCGAAAUCCACUCAAUAUUCUCCACCGUCAGACAAGAUGUUAAGGGGGAAUAGACUUCAGACAGAAUCAGCAACAACAACAACAAUCAUGGCAUUUGUUCUGCUUUGCAGUGCCCAGAUUUGAACCUAAUACUCAUAACCCCCACCCACCUCACCCAGAUCUAAAACAGGGUUAGGGUUUGCGUUGAAGAUGGCGAAGGAAUCGUCCUCAGUCGCACCCAGCCGUCGCACUCUGAAACUCGCGCUCUAUCGCUCUCAUUUUCUUCCUUCAUCCUCCGUCGCACUCAGAUCCAAAUCUUCCUUCGAGUUCCGGUUGCAGGGGGUUGGGCCGUUGGGGUUUUGGUAGGGGUGGGCGUUGGCUAGUGGUUGCUGGUGAUGAGGAAGAAGCUGAAGUCGAAGGAGGAGGUGAUGAGGAAGAAGAAGCUGGAUGGCAUUAUUGACACAUUCAGCAUGCCAUUUAUGCACUCGCCGGAGCUCCACCCUCCGGUGAGGAUCUGCCCCAAAAAUAUUUCAAAGAUGAGGACCAAAUGCAAUAAAUUUUCCGGCGAGGGACUUAGAUCAGACGGCGAGACAAAGACAGGGACCAAUAUAACGCUUAACCCUUUUUCCUAUGUUUUUACUUAUUUGGCUGCUAUUUUCGUUAGUAAGUGAAAUGUUAAAAGAAAGUCGCUUUUA